GUAGCCGGACUGAGAGGUUGAACGGCCACAUUGGGACUGAGACACGGCCCAGACUCCUACGGGAGGCAGCAGUGGGGGAUAUUGCACAAUGGGGGAAACCCUGAUGCAGCGACGCCGCGUGGAGGAAGAAGGUUUUCGGAUUGUAAACUCCUGUCGUUAGGGACGAUAAUGACGGUACCUAACAAGAAAGCACCGGCUAACUACGUGCCAGCAGCCGCGGUAAAACGUAGGGUGCAAGCGUUGUCCGGAAUUACUGGGUGUAAAGGGAGCGCAGGCGGACCGGCAAGUUGGAAGUGAAAACUAUGGGCUCAACCCAUAAAUUGCUUUCAAAACUGCUGGCCUUGAGUAGUGCAGAGGUAGGUGGAAUUCCCGGUGUAGCGGUGGAAUGCGUAGAUAUCGGGAGGAACACCAGUGGCGAAGGCGACCUACUGGGCACCAACUGACGCUGAGGCUCGAAAGCAUGGGUAGCAAACAGGAUUAGAUACCCUGGUAGUCCAUGCCGUAAACGAUGAUUACUAGGUGUUGGAGGAUUGACCCCUUCAGUGCCGCAGUUAACACAAUAAGUAAUCCACCUGGGGAGUACGACCGCAAGGUUGAAACUCAAAGGAAUUGACGGGGGCCCGCACAAGCAGUGGAGUAUGUGGUUUAAUUCGACGCAACGCGAAGAACCUUACCAAGUCUUGACAUCCUGCGACGGUGCUGGAAACAGUACUUUCCUUCGGGACGCAGAGACAGGUGGUGCAUGGUUGUCGUCAGCUCGUGUCGUGAGAUGUUGGGUUAAGUCCCGCAACGAGCGCAACCCUUAUUGCCAGUUACUACGCAAGAGGACUCUGGCGAGACUGCCGUUGACAAAACGGAGGAAGGUGGGGAUGACGUCAAAUCAUCAUGCCCUUUAUGACCUGGGCUACACACGUACUACAAUGGCGUUUAACAAAGAGAAGCAAGACCGCGAGGUGGAGCAAAACUCAAAAACAACGUCUCAGUUCAGAUUGCAGGCUGCAACUCGCCUGCAUGAAGUCGGAAUUGCUAGUAAUCGCGGAUCAGCAUGCCGCGGUGAAUACGUUCCCGGGCCUUGUACACACCGCCCGUCACACCAUGAGAGCCGGGGGGACCCGAAGUCGGUAGUCUAACCGCAAGGAGGACGCCGCCGAAGGUAAAACUGGUGAUUGGGGUGAAGUCGUAACAAGGUAGCCGUAUCGGAAGGUGCGGCUG
rnacentral:rRNA from 1 species